GACGAACGCUGGCGGCGUGCCUAAUACAUGCAAGUAGAACGCACAGUUUAUACCGUAGCUUGCUACACCAUAGACUGUGAGUUGCGAACGGGUGAGUAACGCGUAGGUAACCUGCCUGGUAGCGGGGGAUAACUAUUGGAAACGAUAGCUAAUACCGCAUAAUAUUGAUUAUUGCAUGAUAAUUGAUUGAAAGAUGCUAUUGCAUCACUACCAGAUGGACCUGCGUUGUAUUAGCUAGUAGGUGAGGUAACGGCUCACCUAGGCGAGGAUACAUAGCCGACCUGAGAGGGUGAUCGGCCACACUGGGACUGAGACACGGCCCAGACUCCUACGGGAGGCAGCAGUAGGGAAUCUUCGGCAAUGGACGAAAGUCUGACCGAGCAACGCCGCGUGAGUGAAGAAGGUUUUCGGAUCGUAAAGCUCUGUUGUAAGAGAAGAACGGGUGGGAGAGUGGAAAGUUCACACUGUGACGGUAUCUUACCAGAAAGGGACGGCUAACUACGUG
rnacentral:rRNA from 1 species